rnacentral:rRNA from 1 species
UGGCCCUACGGGGGGCAGCAGUAGGGAAUCUUCCACAAUGGACGAAAGUCUGAUGGAGCAACGCCGCGUGAGUGAAGAAGGGUUUCGGCUCGUAAAGCUCUGUUGGUAGUGAAGAAAGAUAGAGGUAGUAACUGGCCUUUAUUUGACGGUAAUUACUUAGAAAGUCACGGCUAACUACGUGCCAGCAGCCGCGGUAAUACGUAUGUGGCAAGCGUUGUCCGGAAUUACUGGGUGUAAAGGGGGCGCAGGCGGGAAGACCAAUCAG